CCACUAAAAGAAAUUUGAGGGGCUCGCCGCGUGAGGGAUGAGGCUCUUCGGGUUGUAAACCUCUGUUCCCCUUGACGAACGAUGAUCAUUUGGUCGGGUAACGGAACCGGGUGAGGAAUCACCGGCUAACUCCGUGCCAACAGCUGCGGUAAUACAGAGGGUGCGAGCGUUGUCCGGAAUCAAUGCGCAUAAAGGGCUCUUAGGCGGCUGGUGUAACACGGCUGGUGUAAUCCCGGGGCUUCACCUCCGGUGGCCGGCCGGGCUUACUGUCGGGUUGGAGAAAUGUAAGGGCAGGUGGAAUUCCGGGUGUAGCGGUGGAAUGGAUAAAAAUCGGGAGGAAAACCGGUGGCUAAGGCGUUUUGUUGGGCCGAUGAUGACAUUGAGGGGCGAACAGAUUGGGUAGCAAACAGGAUUAAAUCCCCUGGUAUUCCACGCCGAAAACGAGGGGGACUAGAUGCUUGGGGGAGCGACCCUCCCAGUGUCGUUGCUAACCCUUUAAGGGCCCCCCCUGGGGAGAACUGCCACAUGGGUUAAAUUUCAAGGGAUUUGACGGA
rnacentral:rRNA from 1 species